rnacentral:rRNA from 1 species
UACGUAGGGUGCAAGCGUUGUCCGGAAUUAUUGGGCGUAAAGAGCUCGUAGGCGGCUUGUUGCGUCGACUGUGAAAACCCGCAGCUUAACUGCGGGCCUGCAGUUGAUACGGGCAGGCUAGAGUUCGGUAGGGGGAGACUGGAAUUCCUGGUGUAGCGGUGAAAUGCGCAGAUAUCAGGAGGAACACCGGUGGCGAAGGCGGAUCUCUGGGCCAUUACUGACGCUGAGGAGCGAAAGCGUGGGGAGCGAACAGG